rnacentral:rRNA from 1 species
GAUGAACGCUGGCGGCGUGCUUAACACAUGCAAGUUGAACGAUGAGGCCCAGCUUGCUGGGUGGUUUAGUGGCGAACGGGUGAGUAACACGUGAGUAACCUGCCCUUAACUCUGGGAUAAGCCUGGGAAACUGGGUCUAAUACAGGACAGGAGCGCCUACCGCACGGAGGGUGUUGGAAAGAUUUAUCGGUUUUGGAUGGACUCGCGGCCUAUCAGCUUGGUGGUGAGGUAAUGGCUCACCAAGGCGACGACGGGUAGCCGGCCUGAGAGGGUGACCGGCCACACUGGGACUGCGACACGGCCCAGACUCCUACGGGAGGCAGCAGUGGGGAAUAUUGCACAAUGGGCGAAAGCCUGAUGCAGCGACGCCGCGUGAGGGAUGACGGCCUUCGGGUUGUAAACCUCUUUCAGUAGGGAAGAAGCGAAAGUGACGGUACCUGCAGAAGAAGCACCGGCUAACUACGUG